GGCAGAGCCACAAACGCUUGCUCUUUGCUUAAUGCCGUUAAAGAUAUUUAAUCCAGAGACCUCAUUCUUGCAGAGGUUCCCACAGUUCAAAGACCAGGACAAGGCUUUCUCUGCUCUUAUUGGAAUUAAUUGCUCAUAUUCCCCUCCCUGAAUCUCAUGAAGUGUCAGACUUAAAGAUCUGACUUCUGUCCCUUAAUCAGCCUGUUACCAAGCUGUUGGCUUGGUUUGAUUGUAAACUGAGUGUUAUUCAGGUCCCUGGCUAAAAAUAGUUUUAUUUGGCUUAAAACCAAAUCUAAUGUCUGAACUAUGACUGCCAGAUUAACUGUAAAUAUUUUU